AACUUAUGAUGUGGAAUUGCACGGAUGUAGUCAUUGAAGUGCUCAUGAGCUUCAACAAUCAUCUCAGAAGCAUACUGAGCAAAAUUAGCUAUCCUCCUUCUGAGAUU
rnacentral:snoRNA from 1 species